UGUCGACCGACCUAGCGGACAUUUGCCAAGACGAUAGAUGAGUUCUCUGAGGAGGGAAUUAUG
rnacentral:ncRNA from 1 species